rnacentral:misc_RNA from 1 species
AACGCACAUUGCGCCCGCUAGUAUUCUGGCGGGCAUGCCUGUUCGAGCGUCAUUUCAACCCUCAGAGCUUCUUCGGAAGAACUGGUGUUGGAGAUCGGCUAGACCCUAGCCGUCUCCCAAAUAGAGUGGCAGUCUCGCUGUAGCCUCCUCUGCGUAGUACCAUACCUCGCUCUGGAAAUACAGCUUGAUUAAGCCGUAAAACCCCCCUAUUUUUUUUUUGUUGACCUCGGAUCAGGUAGGAAUACCCGCUGAACUUAA